GAACCUUACCAAGGCUUGACAUACACCGGUAACCGCCCAGAGAUGGGCCGCCCCUUUGUGGUCGGUGGACAGGUGGUGCAUGGUUGUCGUCAGCUCGUGUCGUGAGAUGUUGGGUUAAGUCCCGCAACGAGCGCAACCCUCGUCCUAUGUUGCCAGCGGGUCAUGGCCGGGGACUCAUGGGAGACUGCCAGGGUCAACUCGGAGGAAGGUGGGGAUGACGUCAAAUCAUCAUCGCCCCUUAUGUCUUGGGCUUCACGCAUGCUACAAUGGCCGGUAACGAAAGGGCUGCGAUACCGCGAGGUGGAGCGAAUCCCAGAAAGCCGGUCUCAGUUCGGAUUGGGGUCUGCAACUCGACCCCAUGAAGUCGGAAUCGCUAGUAAUCGUGGAUCAGCAUGUCACGGUGAAUACGUUCCCGGGUCUU
rnacentral:rRNA from 1 species